rnacentral:tRNA from 1 species
CGUCGGCCAUGCCGUCGAGGUGGGCCGGUCGCUGGUGGCGGCCGGCGCCGCCUUCGAACACCGGGCCGUCGU